AUCUACGGCCAAACCACCCUGAACGUGCCCAAUCUCGUCUGAUCUCAGAAGCUAAGCAAGGUCGGGCCUGGUUAGUACUUGGAUGGGAAGAACACUAUCAUACUCAUUUUGUGAAGCCAGUAUUACACACAUU
rnacentral:rRNA from 1 species